GUCUCGGUAGUCUAAAGGUUUAGGACGCUCGCACGCAAGAGAUCCGGGUUCGACUCCCGGCCGAGAUA
rfam:Atta cephalotes contig28335, whole genome shotgun sequence.